rnacentral:lncRNA from 1 species
AGCUUCACCUCAGAGUUCCCACACGUCGAGAGGUAUUUUUGGACCUUGGUCAAUCAGCCAAACUUUAAGAAAGUGUUGGGCGACAUUAAACAAGCCGAAUCUGUUCCCCCUGUUGCGACCAAGAAACAUGGACAGCCGAAAGAAGCUGCUAAACCAAAGCCAAAGGAGGAGCCAAAGAAGGAGGCCAAGAAAGAAGAACCUAAGGCUGUAGAGGAAGAAGAAGCACCUAAGCCAAAGGCGAAGAAUCCUUUGGAUCUCUUACCUCCUAGUAAGAUGGUUCUUGAUGACUGGAAGAGGCUAUACUCCAAUACGAAAACCAAUUUCCGUGAGGUUGCUAUC